AGGUUAAGCUGAUAAGGGCGCAGGGAGGAUGCCUUGGCACUAAGAGCCGAAGAAGGACGUGAUAAGCUGCGAAAAGCUGCGGUUAGGAGCAAAUAUCCGAUAACCCGCAGAUAUCCGAAUGGGGAAACCCGGCAGAGCAAACCUCUGUCAUCCAUACGCCAAUACAUAACGUAUGGAAGGGAACCCGGUGAACUGAAACAUCUAAGUAGCCGGAGGAAGAGAAAGAAACAUCGAUUUCCUGAGUAGCGGCGAGCGAAAGGGAAGGAGCCUAAACCGUGGUGCGUGCACCGCGGGGUAAUGGACUGCAUAAGUGAGCUGAAAGCUAGAAGAAUGGUUUUGGGAAAGCCAGCCAGAGAGAGUGAAAGCCUCGUACUCGAAAGCGGAAGGCAGCGGCAGGAUCCGGAGUACCACGAGACACGUGGAACCUUGUGGGAAAUCGGGGGGACCACCCCCCAAGGCUAAAUACUACUUAGUGACCGAUAGCGCAUAGUACUGUGAAGGAAAGGUGAAAAGAACCCCGGGAGGGGAGUGAAAGAGAACCUGAAACCCUGUGUCUACAAGCUGUGGAAGCACUCUAUACGUGCAACCGCGUACUUUUUGUAGAACGGUCCGGCGAGUUAUGCGGUGUGGCAAGGUUAAGCACUUAAAGUGUGGAGCCGAAGGGAAACCAAGUCUUAACCGGGCGUCCAGUCACAUAGCAUAGACCCGAAACCGGGUGAUCUACCCAUGUCCAGGUUGAAGCUGCUGUAAAAGGCGGUGGAGGACCGAACGCACAUCCGUUGAAAAGGGUGGCGAUGAGGUGUGGGUAGGGGAGAAAUUCCAAUCGAACUCGGAGAUAGCUGGUUCUCCUCGAAAUAGUUUUAGGACUAGCCUGUCAACAGUCUGCCGGAGGUAGAGCACUGAAUUUCCGCGGGGGCGUCAAAGCUUACCAAAGAAUAUCAAACUCCGAAUGCCGGCCAGAUGAUUUGACGGAGUCAGACUGCACGAGAUAAGUUGGGUAGUCAAAAGGGAAACAGCCCAGACCACCAGCUAAGGUCCCAAAGUGCGUGUUAAGUGGAAAAGGAUGUGGGGAUUCGAAGACAACUAGGAUGUUGGCUCAGAAGCAGCCAUACAUUCAAAGAGUGCGUAACAGCUCACUAGUCGAGAGUCCCUGCGCCGAAAAUGUCCGGGGCUGAAACACGACACCGAAGCUGUGGAAUCAUCGUAAGAUGAUUGGUAGAGGAGCAUUCUUAACACGGCGAAGCGUUACCGUAAGGAGACGUGGAGAGUUAAGAAGAGAGAAUGCCGGAAUGAGUAGCGAGAAAUAGGUGAGAAUCCUAUUGGCCGAAUAUCUAAGGUUUCCAGAGUAAAGCUGAUCUGCUCUGGGUAAGUCGGGGCCUAAGGCGAGGUCGAAAGACGUAGUCGAUGGAUAACAGGUUGAGAUUCCUGUACUCCGUAAUAUAAGAAAUGUGGGGACACAGAGGCAAAGCAUGAGCCGGGAAUGGAAAGACCGGUGCAAGCGCAGGAGGUGCAUAGGAGGCAAAUCCCCUAUGUAAGCCGGAGGCGUGAAGCGGAGCGAACAUAAGGGUAGCGAAGCAUGUGGAGCAGCUGUCGGGAAAAGCCGCUAUAAAGUAUUACGGACCCGUACCGUAAACCGACACAGGUGGAUGAGGAGAGAAUCCUAAGGCCGACGGAAGAAGCAUUGUUAAGGAAUUCGGCAAAAUGACCCCGUAACUUCGGGAGAAGGGGUGCCUUGGAAACAAGGCCGCAGAGAAUUGGCCCAAGCAACUGUUUAGCAAAAACACAGGUCUAUGCGAAACCGAAAGGUGAGGUAUAUGGGCUGACACCUGCCCGGUGCUGGAAGGUUAAGGGGAGUGCUCAGGAGCAAUCCGAAGGUGCGAACUUAAGCCCCAGUAAACGGCGGCCGUAACUAUAACGGUCCUAAGGUAGCGAAAUUCCUUGUCGGGUAAGUUCCGACCCGCACGAAAGGUGUAAUGAUUUGGGCGCUGUCUCGACAAUGCAUCCGGUGAAAUUGAAGUACCAGUGAAGAUGCUGGUUACCCGCGCCAGGACGGAAAGACCCCAUGGAGCUUUACUCUAGUUUGAUGCUGGGAUUCGAUACUGUAUGUACAGGAUAGGCGGGAGGCUAAGAAGAUGUGGCGCCAGCUGCAUCAGAGCCGCUGUUGGGAUACCGCCCUUGCAGUAUUGGAUUUCUAACCUGCGGCCGUGACCCGGCCGGGGGACAACGUCAGGCGGGGAGUUUGACUGGGGCGGUCGCCUCCGAAAGGGUAUCGGAGGCGCUCAAAGGUUCCCUCAGAAUGGUCGGAAACCAUUCGAAGAGUGCAAAGGCAGAAGGGAGCUUGACUGCGACACCGACGGGUGGAGCAGGUACGAAAGUAGGACUUAGUGAUCCGGUGGUAGAAAGUGGGAUUGCCAUCGCUCAACGGAUAAAAGCUACCCUGGGGAUAACAGGCUUAUCACUCCCAAGAGUUCACAUCGACGGAGUGGUUUGGCACCUCGAUGUCGGCUCAUCGCAUCCUGGGGCUGGAGCAGGUCCCAAGGGUUGGGCUGUUCGCCCAUUAAAGCGGUACGCGAGCUGGGUUCAGAACGUCGUGAGACAGUUCGGUCCCUAUCCGGCGCGGGCGUAGGAUAUCUGAAAGGAGCUGGCCUUAGUACGAGAGGACCGGGCUGGACGAACCUCUGGUUCACCGGUUGUCACACCAGUGGCAUAGCCGGGUAGCCAAGUUUGGAAGGGAUAAACGCUGAAGGCAUCUAAGCGUGAAGCCCCCCUUAAGAUGAGAUAUCCCGUGAGGAAUCACAUAAGACCCCUUAGAGACGAUGAGGUAGAUAGGGCAGAGGUGGAAGUACGGUAACGUAUGCAGCUGACUGUCACUAAUAGGUCGAAGGCUUAUCCAAAA
rnacentral:rRNA from 1 species